GGCGAACGCUGGCGGCAGGCUUAACACAUGCAAGUCGAACGGGCACUUCGGUGCUAGUGGCAGACGGGUGAGUAACGCGUGGGAACGUGCCUUUCGGUUCGGAAUAAUCCAGGGAAACUUGGACUAAUACCGGAUACGCCCUCCGGGGGAAAGAUUUAUCGCCGAAAGAUCGGCCCGCGUCUGAUUAGCUAGUUGGUGAGGUAAAGGCUCACCAAGGCGACGAUCAGUAGCUGGUCUGAGAGGAUGAUCAGCCACAUUGGGACUGAGACACGGCCCAAACUCCUACGGGAGGCAGCAGUGGGGAAUAUUGGACAAUGGGCGAAAGCCUGAUCCAGCCAUGCCGCGUGAGUGAUGAAGGCCUUAGGGUUGUAAAGCUCUUUUGUCCGGGAAGAUAAUGACUGUACCGGAAGAAUAAGCCCCGGCUAACUUCGUGCCAGCCGCCGCCGUAA
rnacentral:rRNA from 1 species